rnacentral:rRNA from 1 species
CCAGCUCCAAGAGUGUAUAUUAAAGUUGUUGCAGUUAAAAAGCUCGUAGUUGAACUUUGGGCCCGGUUGGCCGGUCCGAUUUUUUCGUGUACUGGAUUUCCAACGGGGCCUUUCCUUCUGGCUAACCUUGAGUCCUUGUGGCUCUUGGCGAACCAGGACUUUUACUUUGAAAAAAUUAGAGUGUUCAAAGCAGGCGUAUUGCUCGAAUAUAUUAGCAUGGAAUAAUAGAAUAGGACGUUUGGUUCUAUUUUGUUGGUUUUUAGGACCAUCGUAAUGAUUAAUAGGGACGGUCGGGGGCAUCAGUAUUCAAUUGUCAGAGGUGAAAUUCUUGGAUUUAUUGAAGACUAACUACUGCGAAAGCAUUUGCCAAGGACGUUUCCAUUAAUCAAGAACGAAAGUUAGGGGAUCGAAGAUGAUCAGAUACCGUCGUAGUCUUAACCAUAAACUAUGCCGACUAGGGAUCGGGUGGUGUUUUUUUAAUGACCCACUCGGCACCUUACGAGAAAUCAGAGUCUUUGGGUUCUGGGGGGAGUAUGGUCGCAAGGCUGAAACUUAAAGGAAUUGACGGAAGGGCACCACCAGGAGUGGAGCCUGCGGCUUAAUUCGACUCAAC